AUGUUUGUGACCACCGCUAGGUGGCAGUGGUGUCGAGCGCUAAGGACGCGGGGGAGCGGGUGCUAUUCAAAACAAUGGUCGGCGUCGCGUCGUAGGAUCGUUUGCCUUGUUUUUUGAAAAGUUAAGCCCCUUUGGAGCAGAUUGGAAGGUUUCAGAAGAUGGAGGAAGAUGGCAAGAUCAAAGAGAUGGGUUCAGUUUCCACGGUGUGCUGACUUGAAUUGGCAUCCUGUGAUUUGUGAUGUGAAUUAUGAUGCACGCACUCGCAGGUGCACGCCCACUGCGGACACGUGUGACGUGACGGCAGCAGGCAGCCGGGGUUUGAACUGUGAACUGGCUCGGCCGAAAAUGUUUAAGGUAUCACAGCGUUUGUAACUGACUAACAUACCCACUACGGGCAUACCCAUUGAGCGGAUAAUGCGUUCGUGUGCAUCGUGUUUGCAUUUAUUCCCGAUAUACUCUGGUGGUAGGUGUGAAUUGGAAACCAGCUUGGUGCUACGACACCGUUUAGUAGGCAUGUGGCACGUCGUUUCUCGAAACCUACCUAUCAGUCUAUGCAAUAAUAUGCAUUGUAUACAUUGUGUGUCAUCGUUCACCUUAGUUGUCAUUGAACCUGUGUUAAAUUCUGAACUUCAGGCCGAGACAGACUAUUUCCACAGUCAGGAAAU